CCUACGGGUGGCAGCAGUGGGGAAUAUUGCACAAUGGGGGAAACCCUGAUGCAGCAACGCCGCGUGAGUGAAGAAGUAUCUCGGUAUGUAAAGCUCUGUUGUUGGAGAAGAACGUGCGUGAGAGUAACUGUUCACGCAGUGACGGUAUCCAACCAGAAAGUCACGGCUAACUACGUGCCAGCAGCCGCGGUAAUACGUAGGUGGCAAGCGUUAUCCGGAUUUAUUGGGCGUAAAGCGAGCGCAGGCGGUCGCUUAGGUCUGAUGUGAAAGCCUUCGGCUUAACCGAAGAAGUGCAUCGGAAACCGGGCGACUUGAGUGCAGAAGAGGACAGUGGAACUCCAGGUGUAGCGGUGGAAUGCGUAGAUAUAUGGAAGAACACCAGUGGCGAAGGCGGCUGUCUGGUCUGCAACUGACGCUGAGGCUCGAAAGCAUGGGUAGCGAACAGGAUUAGAUACCCGUGUAGUC
rnacentral:rRNA from 1 species